AUCGUUUUAGUUUAAAAAAAAUUUCGUUUUGUGAGAAUGAAGAUUCUUGUUUGAAUGCGAUA
rnacentral:tRNA from 1 species